AUGCCUACGGGACGCAGCAGUGAGGAAUAUUGGUCAAUGGGAGAGAUCCUGAACCAGCCAAGCCGCGUGAGGGAAGACGGCCCUAUGGGUUGUAAAUCUCUUUUGUCGGAGAACAAAACCCGGGACGUGUCCCGGACUGCGUGUAUCCGAAGAAGAAGCCCCGGCUAACUACGUGCCAGCAGCCGCGGUAAUACGUAGGGGGCAAGCGUUAUCCGGAUUUACUGGGUGUAAAGGGGGCGCAGACGGCGAUGCAAGCCAGGAGUGAAAGCCCGGGGCCCAACCCCGGGACUGCUCUUGGAACUGCG
rnacentral:rRNA from 1 species